rnacentral:rRNA from 1 species
CCUACGGGUGGCAGCAGUGAGGAAUAUUGGUCAAUGGACGAGAGUCUGAACCAGCCAAGUAGCGUGAAGGAUGACUGUCCUAUGGGUUGUAAACUUCUUUUAUAUGGGAAUAAAAUGUUCCACGUGUGGGAUUUUGUAUGUACCAUAUGAAUAAGGAUCGGCUAACUCCGUGCCAGCAGCCGCGGUAAUACGGAGGAUCCGAGCGUUAUCCGGAUUUAUUGGGUUUAAAGGGAGCGUAGGUGGAGUGUUAAGUCAGUUGUGAAAGUUUGCGGCUCAACCGUAAAAUUGCAGUUGAAACUGGCAGUCUUGAGUACAGUAGAGGUGUGCGGAAUGCGUGGUGUAGCGGUGAAAUGCUUAGAUAUCGCGAAGAACUCCGAUUGCGAAGGCAGUUCACUGGACUGCAACUGACACUGAGGCUCGAAAGUGUGGGUAUCAAACAGGAUUAGAUACCCGAGUAGUC